UUUCUCUUUUGUUUCAAACGUCUUCUAGUGUUGUUGAACAGUCCCUCUGACCUACCUUUGUUAGUCGUGCAUUAUCCUUUCUAGUCAUUGUUACUCUUUCUCUCAACUACUAAUCAGUCUGUAGUGGCUACAACGCUCUCUCAGAGAGUAACAAGUUCAGCACAACGCUCUCUCAAUGAAUAACAAGUUCUGCACAACGCUCUCUCAGUGAAUAACAAGUUCAGCAUAAUGCUCUCUCAGUGAAUAACAAGUUCAGCAUAACGCUCUCCUUAUCUCAACGACCUACUUAUUCCAGUCAGCCCACUCAGCCAACGUUUGAAGAAGAUCUUUAAAGGAACGGACAACUCUCUCAACAUGUCCAGUCAAGAAGUCGAAGGCUUUUCUCAGGAGGUACGGCGACGGGGUGCCACACUGGAAAGUCUUCAGGCUGCUGUGCCUCCUGAGCAGCCGCAAUUGUCCUCCACAUCACGUAAAGUGACAUGGAAACCACCAUCAUACCCACGGACACGCUGCUACUCAAUGGGAACAAUGCUCAUUCUUGUGAUCUGCUUUGAGGGUCAGCAUCUUCGUGAUGACAUCCUCUACACUAUUGUACACUACAUAUUUAGUGUACAUAGUGUAGAGAUGGAUGAGCAAGACGAAACUCAAUUCGACCGGACACUACUGCACCUCUGUGCAAUGCGUGGAAAUGAUCGACUAGCAAAUAUUCUCAUCGGACGUGGAGCUGAUGUCAAUGCGCAGGACAGCAGCUGGGUAAGAACUAGUGAUAGUUUAGAGUCUGGUUGUCUCAACUGAAUUCUCAGUUUGUAUGAUCCUACAUGUCUAUCUGUCUGUCUGUAAGACAAUCUGUUCAUUGCUUCUGCAUGUGUGUCCUUCCAUUUGUAUGUCCACGUGUGUAUGUACAUCUGCAUGUGUGUACAUGUAUGUGCAUGACGAUGUGUGUGUGCAUGUGCGUGUGUAUGUGUAUGUGCGCCCGUGCGUAUGUGUGUGAGUGUGUGCGAGCGCACAUGUGAGUGUGUGCGAGCGCACAUGUGAGUGUGUGUGUGUGUGUGUGUGUGUGUAUGUGUGUGUGUGUUGAUGCGUUUGUUCUAGUUGUCCAGGUCUGUGUCGGUGUGUGGUUGUAGUAGUUAGUGUAAUGGUUGUAUAGCAAUACUCAUCACAUUCUCUCUUUCUCUACAGUUCCGACGGACUCCACUUCACGAGGCAGUCCGCUGGAACAAGAUCAACGUUGUCAAGGUGAUGCUGUCACAUGACAGUGACGGUGUCACCUUGGAUACCACACUGCGUGACGGUGGAGGGAGAACAGCGUUGGACCUAGCCCUGGAACGCAAUUAUGAGGGAUGUGUGCAGUUGCUGGUGGAUCACGAGAGUGCGAAGGUAUGUACAGUAGGCUUGACUGUGAGUGACUGAAUUUAGAUGUACUGUGUGUCUACAGUAAAUAUUACAGCGUGUCGUACAUUUGAUUGGUUGAACUAUGCAGUGACUAGGUGUCACGUGAGUCACGUGAGGUGCACCUCCCACCACCAUGUCCUACAUUUGUACAGCUGUCCAUGAGAUCAAGAGUACAUAAACACGAGAGUGUGUAACUCCGCUUGGUCUGGCCAUGGCGGAAUGUUUUGUUUUGUUGACCUUUCUGGAGAUGAUGAGUCAUACCGUACGGGGCAUGUACUACGAGUCUGUGGGCGCGUGAGCUUGUACAGUUUUCAUUAGGGGUCGUCGCAAAAGUUUUUGU